rnacentral:rRNA from 1 species
CACCACAUCGGGGUAUACUCACCUCCAACAAUUUGUAUUUAAACCACUACAAUAUAUAUUGUAUGUGUGUACUAUUAUUUUAGGUAGUAAUUAUAUUUUUCUUUAAGAAAGAAGGCGGUGAAGCGGUGUUUAACAACAUAAUAAUAAUAAUAUUAUUAUGAAUAUAGAAGAAGAAUCAUAUAGAGACUCUUUAAUAUAUAGAAAAUAUAUAUAUAAAGAAAGAUAGAAAAGUGAAAAUACUUUCUCUGUUAAGAUCUAGUAUUUUAAGAAAUACGAUUUGAAAGGAGUUAGUUACUUUUCUAAAGUAUAUUCUUAAGAAAGAUACUCCAAAAAAUAGAACUAAUAAUUAUACUACUCCUUACGAAAAAUUUCUUUAGUUAUUAUAUUGUACACCCGAGUAUAAUAAUAGAUUAUUAUAAAUAUUUGUUGAAUAAACCCCAUCAGAAUGUUGGGGGGUGGUAUACACCCGGGUGUGUUG